AUCUAUGCCGGGGCAGGGUGAAGCCAGAGGAAACUCUGGUGAAAGCCCGCCGCGAUUCUGACGUGCAAAUCGAUCGUCUGAUCUUGGCAUAGGGGCGAAAGACUAAUCGAACCAUCUAGUAGCUGGUUCCUUUCGAAGUUUCCCUCAGGAUAGCUGGCACGUAUGCAAAGGGAAUCUCAUCCAGUCGAGCGAAUGAUUAGAGGCCUUGGGGCCGAAACGAUCUCAACCUAUUCUCAAACUCACAAUGGGUGAAAAAGGCCGGUCGUCCUAAACGCGACCGGCAAUCGAUCCCCACGUGCCCAGUGGGCUAGUUUUGGUAAGCAGAACUGGCGAUGUGGGAUGAACCGAAAGCCGAGUUACGGUGUCCGAUUACACGCUCAUGAGAUCCCACAAAAGGUGUUGGUUGCUUUAGACAGCAGGACGGUGGCCAUGGAAGUUGGAA
rnacentral:rRNA from 1 species